AUAUAUAUAUCAAGCCUUGCUCUUUGUUGAGUUGGUUUGGAUGUGGGGGUUUUUUGCUGGCCUCUUGAAAAGGGCUCAGCUCCUCUGAAAUGUAUUAGCAGAACAACCCUGUUCAUUGGUGUGAUAACUAUCAAUGCUAUUGAAUGCGAAAGGGGCAGUUCAGCUUUCUAACAGUCCUUGGACAAAAUUCAUUGUUA
rnacentral:misc_RNA from 1 species